GGCACACGGUGGCCUAGUGGUUAGCACGUUUGCCUCACACCUACAGGGUUGAGGGUUCGAUUCCCGCCACUGCCC